rnacentral:rRNA from 1 species
UUACCGAGUUAGGGUCUCACCGGCCCGAUCUCCCAACCCUUUGUCUACUUGACCAUCGUUGCUUCGGCGAGCCCGUCCUCACGGACCGCCGGGGGGUCUUUGUACCCCUUGGCCCGCGCUCGUCGACAGCCCCCAAAUUUAAAAAAUCUUAACUAAACGUGUCUUGAAUCUAAGUAUUAUUGUUAAAUAAAAACAAAACUUUCAACAACGGAUCUCUUGGUUCUGGCAUCGAUGAAGAACGCAGCGAAAUGCGAUAAGUAAUGCGAAUUGCAGAAUUCCAGUGAGUCAUCGAAUCUUUGAACGCACAUUGCGCCCUUUGGUAUUCCGAAGGGCAUGCCUGUUCGAGCGUCAUUAUCACCCCUCAAGCCCUCGGCUUGGUGUUGGACGGCUUGGUGGAGAGACCCCCUUUGCGGGCUUCUACCCCUCCCAAAGACAAUGACGGCGGCCUCGUUGGACCCCCGGUACACUGAGUUCUUCACGGGACACGUAUCGGACACAUGGGUUCACGGGACACGGUCUGCCUCCCCUCAGGGAGAAUCUUUUUUUAUCAAGGUUGACCUCGGAUCAGGUAGGGAUACCCGCUGAACUUAAGCAUAUCA